ACCCCAUAGGUGUCUGUUAGGUCUUACCUCCAUUAAUUACACUUGUGGAAUUAAACCUGUGCGCUGCCUUUGGAGCAUUCUUCGUUGAAUUACCUGACAAAUAAUACGGCCUGCAGCACUCAUGGUUCAAGAGGUCUUUGCUUUAGUUUUGAUGUAUGCUGUCACCCAUUUAGAAGGUCAUCACCCCCAAUGUGGAAACGACUGCUGCAAAGGACUGUGCCAAAGCCUGGAGCCUCACAUCAAACCUUCCCGUCCCUCCAUCCCCAGCCUCUCUUUCUCCAUCACCGCCUUCUCCUUCCCUGCCUCCACUCUCUCAUCCUCCUCCGCCUCCACUAGUCUUGGCUGGGCCACUCCUCCCCCCAUGCCUUGAGUGAAGCUGUGAAACCAGGUCAUGCUAGCGAAGACUGCUGUGGGCUGUGUACAGUAACAAGGGAGGGCUGAGACUCCCACUCCUGGUCAGGACAGAGCAGCAGGUUUUCAGGCUCCUGGGCGAGCACGGCUCGUGAGCGGACCUGAACCG